CUUUGCAGGCUGAAAUGGCUCUUUGACGAGUGAUAAUCGCCGAAUAAAGAAUGCUGUAAAGAUCAAAUGUACUCUUUGUGGGAUGAUUGUUUGAAUUCUUGAUGUGCUGCAAUGCAGCCUUAGCUUACAAGUAUAACUGUAUAGAUUGCAGGAGUUGAUUUAAUAUUUUAUGUCAAAGUUGAAAUGGGAAGAGUUUUGCUACUUUUACAUGAAAUUUCAUUCUUUAAAUUGUACAAAAUAUCUCUUCUAUCAACAUUAAAG
rnacentral:misc_RNA from 1 species